rnacentral:rRNA from 1 species
UACGAAGGGUGCAAACGUUGCUCGGAAUUAUUGGGCGUAAAGCGCACGUAGGCGGCUUGGCAAGUCGGAUGUGAAAUCCCUCGGCUUAACCGAGGAACUGCCCUCCAAACUGCUUGGCUUGAGACCGGGAGAGGUGAGUGGAAUUCCCAGUGUAGCGGUGAAAUGCGUAGAUAUUGGGAGGAACACCAGUGGCGAAGGCGGCUCACUGGACCGGUACUGACGCUGAUGCGCGAAAGCGUGGGGAGCAAACGGG